UUAAGUUAAUAAGGGCGCACGGUGGAUGCCUUGGCACUAGAAGCCGAUGAAGGACGUGACUAACGACGAAAUGCUUUGGGGAGCUGUAAGUGAGCAAUGAUCCAGAGAUGUCCGAAUGGGGGAACCCGGCAGGUAAUGCCUGUCACUCAUUACUGUUAAGGUAAUGUAGAGGAAGACGCAGUGAACUGAAACAUCUAAGUAGCUGCAGGAAGAGAAAGCAAAAGCGAUUGCCUUAGUAGCGGCGAGCGAAACGGCAAGAGGGCAAACCGAAGAGUUUACUCUUCGGGGUUGUAGGACUGCAACGUGGACUUAAAGAUUAUAGAAGAACUACCUGGGAAGGUAGGCCAAAGAGAGUAAUAGCCUCGUAUUCGAAAUAGUCUUUAUACCUAGCAGUAUCCUGAGUACGGCGAGACACGAGAAAUCUCGUCGGAAUCUGGGAGGACCAUCUCCCAACCCUAAAUACUCUCUAGUGACCGAUAGUGAACCAGUACCGUGAGGGAAAGGUGAAAAGCACCCCGGGAGGGGAGUGAAAUAGAACCUGAAACCGUGUGCCUACAACAAGUUCGAGCCCGUUAAUGGGUGAGAGCGUGCCUUUUGUAGAAUGAACCGGCGAGUUACGAUAUGAUGCGAGGUUAAGUUGAAGAGACGGAGCCGUAGGGAAACCGAGUCUUAAUAGGGCGCAUUAGUAUCAUGUCGUAGACCCGAAACCAUGUGACCUACCCAUGAGCAGGGUGAAGGUGAGGUAAAACUCACUGGAGGCCCGAACCAGGGCACGUUGAAAAGUGCUUGGAUGACUUGUGGGUAGCGGAGAAAUUCCAAACGAACUUGGAGAUAGCUGGUUCUCUCCGAAAUAGCUUUAGGGCUAGCGUCGAUGUUAAGUCUCUUGGAGGUAGAGCACUGUUUGAUUGAGGGGUCCAUCCCGGAUUACCAAUAUCAGAUAAACUCCGAAUGCCAAUGAGAUAUAAUCGGCAGUCAGACUGCGAGUGCUAAGAUCCGUAGUCGAAAGGGAAACAGCCCAGACCACCAGCUAAGGUCCCAAAAUAUAUGUUAAGUGGAAAAGGAUGUGGGGUUGCACAGACAACUAGGAUGUUAGCUUAGAAGCAGCUAUUCAUUCAAAGAGUGCGUAAUAGCUCACUAGUCGAGUGACCCUGCGCCGAAAAUGUACCGGGGCUAAAACAUAUUACCGAAGCUGUGGAUACCUUUUAGGUAUGGUAGGAGAGCGUUCUAUGUGUGAAGAAGGUGUACCGUGAGGAGCGCUGGAACGCAUAGAAGUGAGAAUGCCGGUAUGAGUAGCGAAAGACAGGUGAGAAUCCUGUCCACCGUAUGACUAAGGUUUCCAGGGGAAGGCUCGUCCUCCCUGGGUUAGUCGGGACCUAAGGAGAGACCGAAAGGUGUAUCCGAUGGACAACAGGUUGAUAUUCCUGUACUAGAGUAUAUAGUGAUGGAGGGACGCAGUAGGCUAACUAAAGCGUGCGAUUGGAAGUGCACGUCUAAGCAGUGAGGUGUGAUAUGAGUCAAAUGCUUAUAUCUCUAACAUUGAGCUGUGAUGGGGAGCGAAGUUAAGUAGCGAAGUUAGUGAUGUCACACUGCCAAGAAAAGCUUCUAGCGUUAAUUAUACUCUACCCGUACCGCAAACCGACACAGGUAGUCGAGGCGAGUAGCCUCAGGUGAGCGAGAGAACUCUCGUUAAGGAACUCGGCAAAAUGGCCCCGUAACUUCGGGAGAAGGGGCGCUGGCUUUAAGUCAGCCGCAGUGAAUAGGCCCAAGCAACUGUUUAUCAAAAACACAGCUCUCUGCUAAAUCGUAAGAUGAUGUAUAGGGGGUGACGCCUGCCCGGUGCUGGAAGGUUAAGAGGAGCGCUUAGCAUUAGCGAAGGUGUGAAUUGAAGCCCCAGUAAACGGCGGCCGUAACUAUAACGGUCCUAAGGUAGCGAAAUUCCUUGUCGGGUAAGUUCCG
rnacentral:rRNA from 1 species